rnacentral:rRNA from 1 species
GUCCAGACUCCUACGGGAGGCAGCAGUGGGGAAUAUUGCACAAUGGGGGAAACCCUGAUGCAGCAACGCCGCGUGAGUGAGGAAGUAUUUCGGUAUGUAAAGCUCUAUCAGCAGGGAAUAGAAAAGAAGGUACCUGAAAAAGAAGCCCCGGCUAACUACGUGCCAGCAGCCGCGGUAAUACGUAGGGGGCAAGCGUUAUCCGGAUUUAUUGGGUUUAAAGGGUGCGUAGGCGGUCCGUUAAGUCAGCGGUAAAAUUGCGGGGCUCAACCCUGUCGAGCCGUUGAAACUGGCAGACUUGAGUUGGCGAGAAGUACGCGGAAUGCGCGGUGUAGCGGUGAAAUGCAUAGAUAUCGCGCAGAACUCCGAUUGCGAAGGCAGCGUACCGGCGCCAGACUGACGCUGAGGCACGAAAGCGUGGGGAUCGAACAGGAUUAGAUACCCUCGUA